ACGACUCUCGGCAACGGAUAUCUCGGCUCUCGCAUCGAUGAAGAACGUAGCGAAAUGCGAUACUUGGUGUGAAUUGCAGAAUCCCGUGAACCAUCGAGUCUUUGAACGCAAGUUGCGCCCGAGGCCAUUCGGCUGAGGGCACGUCUGCCUGGGCGUCACG
rnacentral:rRNA from 1 species